UACGGGGGGGGGCAAGCGUUGUUCGGAAUUACUGGGCGUAAAGGGCUCGUAGGUGGCCAACUAAGUCAAACGUGAAAUCCCUCGGCUUAACCGGGGAACUGCGUCUGAUACUGGAUGGCUUGAGUUUGGGAGAGGGAUGCGGAAUUCCAGGUGUAGCGGUGAAAUGCGUAGAUAUCUGGAGGAACACCGGUGGCGAAGGCGGCAUCCUGGACCAACACUGACACUGAGGAGCGAAAGCCAGGGGAGCAAACGGG
rnacentral:rRNA from 1 species